CGCGUGCGGCCUGUAUUCCUGGUGCUCUUUGAUUUGAACAGAAUCAUGUCACCUGAGGAUUUGCCGGUUUGCGCUCCCAGAAUCUCCAUGGAAAUGGUGACUACCGCUGAUGGUGCCAGCUAUCCUCUUCUUCCUGAUUUUAAAGAAAAUGAUUUUAAUAAUUAAACCUUAAAAUUUUUAUUU